rnacentral:lncRNA from 1 species
AUGAUAUCUGCAGUGGUCUCAUCUCCAAAUAUGGCUGGGCCAAGACUUUCACACAGGGCUCAGGGACACGAUUUGGGUCCUGAGGCAAGCGAGGGACCUCAGUGGGGGAACCCCAUCCCAUCCUAGAGCCCACUACAGUGGGUCCUCUUCUGAAAAUCAGAAUUUCACGUUUAUUUCAAGCUAAUUUGUCAUAACCCCCUACUUGACCUAAUUAUAAUGUAUUUUUCUGUGUUUUCCUAUUGGAUUGUUACAUAACUGGGGGCAGGAUCCGCUUUAUAGCUGUCUCACUUUAAGAACAGAACUCAGCAUGUGAUGGUCAAUAAAUAUCAUGGCCUUGCUCUAGACACCUGGAGAAGGAGAUGCUGGUGACUACUCUGCUGGCAAAAGCCAUGUCCCAGAUGGCAUCUGGAGCAAGCACAGUUCCAGGGAACAGGACAUCUGGACGCAGAGGUGGACCUGGAUGGGAGACUGCUAGCCAAGGAAGGCGGCUGGGGUAGAUCCUCCAUGAGGCCUCAAAAAGAAGCAGACCCAGCUCUGGACUUCAGACCCCCAAAUGGAACUACAGACUUCUGCCAAAGCCACACUGCCUGUGGAACUCUGCUCUUGCACAAUCCAGGCCCCCAACAUCUCCUCCUGUGUUAUUCUGGCCAUGGAGCAACAGAAGAUGCAGCUGUCCUAGAGAAGCUCUGGACCUGAGCAUGAAGUGUGGGCACCUCUUGGCUCUUUGUCUCCUGCUGGGUACGCCCUUUGUCUGAGGGGAGCAGCGUUCCUGUGACCUCAGCCAGGGAACAACUGUGAUCCAUGGCAGAGGCUACAUCAGCAAACAUGGACCAGCUCCUGGCUAGGAUGGAAGUGAGCCAGCCCCUGAGCAACGUGUGAAUUGUCUUCUGAUUUAUGAUAAUUGUCAACAAAAGCAAAAACACAGACAAUUUUAACUCUGCGGUAGCUAUGAAGUAACUGGCAUGAAAUUAUGUUUUUUUCUUUUAAUAAAAGGGAGGGGUCCUAAAGUCUCCAUGGCCUGUGCACAGUGGUCUUGUUCACCCAGACGCCCCUCGGCCCUCUGUGGCCACACCCACCUGACAAGGACCCACCCCAGAAUAUUUGGCCAGCCAGGGCCUGGAGGACUCUGAGUUAAACUCAUUUCCAUAUCAAACCCAAUUUAGAUGAAUAGUCUUGGUUAAAAAAAAGCCACAGCAUCAAUAGCCCCUGAUUAGAUUUUCAUCUCCUGAGCAGACAAAUAUGAAUAUUUAUUACCAUGAAUGCAGAUUUUUCUCUUUCCAUUGCUCUGAUCUUGAAUAUUAUCCAUUGCUAAUUUUUAUGAAAAUUUGGGCAACAUGAUGUUUUCACAUAAACUGACAGUUCUUGAGAUAAUCCUGUUAUUGUCUGGUUGAAAAUGACAGCUUCCGCUCAUUCAUGUGUUAACGAGGGAUUAAAUAUUGUUUUUAAUUCCC